GUCUCUUUGUAAGUUGUAGAUAAAGAGUCGGGCCUGCUCGGUGAAUAAAUUGUUUUAACAGCUGCGGUAUUUUAACUGUACUAAGGUAGCAUAAUAAUUUGCCUUAUAAUUUGAGGCUAGAAUGAAUGGUUUGACGAAGGUUAAUCUGUCUCUAUCCUAUUUUUUAGAAUUUAAUUUUUAAAGUGAAAAAGCUUGAAUUUUUUAAAGGGACGAGAAGACCCUAUUGAGCUUGUAAUUUUAUUACUAUCAUGUAUUUAAUAUAUAAAGUAGUAUAUAAAUUUUAAUUGGGGUGAUUAAGGAAUAAAUAAUUAAAUUAAUAACUUCCUUAGGUUUAAUAUUGUUAGAUAAAGUAACCAAUAUUAUUGCUUAUAUUAUAGUUACCAUAGGGAUAACAGCGUAAUUUGUUUAGAGAGUUCUUAUUGAAAAAUGAGAUUGCGACCUCGAUGUUGGAUUAAAGUAACCUUAAGGUGCAGAAGCUUUAGAAGGUAAAUCUGUUCGAUUUUUAAAACUUUACA
rnacentral:rRNA from 1 species